GGAAAUCUAUUCUCACUUGGUGGUUUGACCAGCUGCCACCUUUCUGUCAGCACUAUUUUACUCUUUUUGGAUUUGUUUAUGUAAAAUGUGUGUUUGGUGUGAAACUGCAGAUUCUCCUCCGAGGCCCACAUUACAAGUCUCAGGUGAUCAGAAUGAGCUGAAGGAGAAGGAGUCUGUCACUAUAACCUGCUCAGCUCCCACUCCCUGUCCACACCUCCCUCCUCGACUCACCUGGAGCCUCCAACAAGAUGCUCACAGCCAAACAGAGGAAAACACAGAUGGAACUUUAACCACUAAGAUCCAGCAGACCAUCACUCUGUCAGACCAACAUGAUGGAUUCAAGCUCAGCUGCUCUGCUGUGUAUCCUGUUGAUGGAGGACAACAUGUGAAAACAGCUGUGGCAGAGCUCACUCUCAGAGUUUCUUGUAAGUGAUCCUGUCAGCACAUCACAGUUCAGAUGUUUCUGAUCAAUCAAGUGAACAAGAGUCACUUUUUCUCCCUCAGAUGCUCCUAAAGACACGUCAGCCUCCAUCAGUCCAUCAGGUUUGGUGUCUGCAGGGAGCUGGGUGAACCUGACCUGCUCCAGCAGAGCCAGACCUGCUGUCAGAUACACCUGGUUCAAGAUCAGUGAUCAUGGAGCAGUCAGAGUGUCUGAAGGAGACUUUUACAGCUUUAAUGUGACGGAAGGAGGAGUUUAUUACUGUGUGGCUGCAAAUCAUCUGGGACGUCAGACUUCAGAACAGAUUCAUCUUUUGAGAGAAGCAGAUCUGCAUCUGAACACCAUGAUUGGAGUAGUUAUUGGGCUCAUCGUGUUCAUCUGCCUGCUGCUCGGUGUUUACUUCUUCAUGUGUUGGAGGAGAAGAAAGAACACAACUUCAACUGUGCAAGUGGGUCAGAGUCAGACAGGUGAAGAGCUGGCUGCUGAAGAGCCUGCAGAAAAACCUCAGGAAGAGGGAGAAAACGUCCACUAUGGAGAGAUCCACUUCUCCAAGCAGAAACCUGAACCGUCCUCCAAGUCUGAGAUCAGAAGCAAGCAGGAGAACACUGUGUACGCAGAGGUCAGAGGCUCUCAGCCGGGAAACAGCUCCACACACACUGCUGACCACCCCGAGGAUCUCAACUGUCUUUACGCUGAAGUGAAGGAGAAAUGAGAAUAUUCUGUUGGAUUUACUGAGGUGUGAAGUCAUAAAGUACAGAUACUUUACUACUGUACUUGAGGAGAUA
rnacentral:lncRNA from 1 species